UCCAGGCCACGGGAAGCAGUGGUCCCCUUCCAGUCUGCCCUGCUCAGACCCCACUUGGGGUCCUGGGUCCGGUUCUGGGCCUCCAGUUCGAACAGGACAGCAACACGCUGGAGCCAGUUCAGAGGAGGACGGCGACCGAGACGGAGAGCGGUCGGGAGACCGAGGCCUAUGAGGCACGAUUAGAGGGCCCGGGCAGCUGGGCUCCAAAGACGUGAGAGCGAAGGGGUGCCUGCGCAAAGGGGGACGAAAACGAGACAAAGACAUUGCCAAGGGCCGAACGGCAGGCUGUCUACUCACCGUAUGCUGCGCAGAGAGAAACCCACAAACUGGCGCCUCUUGUCCAGAGCCGGGUUUUGGCUCGUGCUGUGCCGAACAGAAACAAGAGUCUGGAGGCGGGUCAGCCUCAAGGGGAGAAGGGUUGGAGACAAGCUUUGAAAAUGCCAAGCCCUUCGAUUCGGCCUUGUUUUCCGCUGCCACCCGAAAGGGGAGGUGGGCCGCCCUAAAUCCAGCUGGCCCUCGGGGACAGCCUCUCCACCCCAGCCUGGACGGACGAGUUCGGCCAGCAGCUUCUUCCUCUGAUUGUGUAACUUCCUUUGGCCUGGCCUGAGAUCUCACCGCUAAUUUGGUCUGUACCUUUUUCCCAUCGGUGCUCACAGAAACACAAAGAACAGAAGCGCGAGGGAGAGUUUUCUUCCCUCUUAUUCUUGCAAUCCGAAGGCAAUCCCCAUAUUUCGAGACCCAUGGCGAUGGGGGAGACUAAGAGGUACCAUUUUAGCACACGGUGGGAGAGAAGAAUUCUCCUGUGGUUCAACUGCAAUUUGAGUUCCUUGGACUUCCACAGGUCAUCAGAAGAACCAGGAGGGUCUAUUUUCCACUGGGUUGUCAGGAGCCCUGUCCAAAAGCAAGACAUUGUGAGUUUCCUGCAACAAUGUCUGGGGGAGCAGUGGAGGGAAAGCCAGCAAGCCACUGAGAGUUCCUGGAGGAAGCCUGGGCGAGAACCGCUGCAUCUCCGCCCCCCGACCCGGUGCCUUCUAGACCUGCUGGGAGCUGCAAAUCCUAUGCAUCUGGAGAACAGCAGGCCUGGAAAGGCUGUGGUGAAUCAAUUAAAAUCCAGCUUCCUGGCUCUUCUGCCCACACAGACUCCCUCUGGCCCCUCCUCUAGCCAGC